CUCAGUGAUUCCUGCACGCCUGCGAGGUUAACCUAGGAAUUCGUCUAAUGAAGGAAGAAAGACGUUAAAGUAACUCGUCCCGCAACUUGUUACCUGAUUAAAUUGUGGUGAGUGGUGAAGGAGAGGAAGCCACAGACACUCAGGGCAGGGGAAGUGGACCAGCUCUGGAGUGUCCCAGGAGGCUCUGUCAGGAGUGAUAUCGAAGCUGAACUUUAAAGAUGAACAGCCUGGACAUUGGCACCUGGAGCUCCUGGUGGGACUCACCCUGCAUGGAAGACUGCCAUGACCACCAGGCCACCCCACUGAGACAGAAGGUGACCUUGACCACCCAUGAGAAUGAUUUAAGUACUGUGGAGUUAUGUAUACUGUACCACUGUUAAAAAUAUGUACAUAGCAUAAAAUUU
rnacentral:lncRNA from 1 species